GUCAGAACGGCGCGGAGAGGAGAGCAUUCGAGCUCGUUGUUUUCUUUUUAUGUUUCUUUUAUUUUUCUUUCUUUUUUUUCGUUUAAAAAAUGAAAUGGAGGCUAUCAGAUUAGGGGUUUUUUUGGCCCUUAUGUGACGUAUGAAACGACACCGUUUGGAGUCUGAUCAGUGGCUCCAAAACGGCGCCGUAUUGAGCUCGACCCGCGUGUGUGACCCGACCCGAGGGAAGGAUCCGCCCGUUUGGCCUCUGUGGGGAGAUUUGUGCAAAUGGUCCUCUCCCUUUUUGUUGCGUAUUCAAAUCGCUCCUUUUCGUUUUCU
rnacentral:lncRNA from 1 species